UACAGAGGGCCCAAGCGUUGUUCGGAUUCACUGGGCGUAAAGGGUGCGUAGGUGGUGAGGUAAGUCGGAUGUGAAAGCUCGGAGCUCAACUCCGAAAUGGCAUUGGAAACUACCUUGCUCGAGGGUUGGAGGGGGGACUGGAAUACUUGGUGUAGCAGUGAAAUGCGUAGAUAUCAAGAGGAACACCAGUGGCGAAGGCGAGUCUCUGGACGACACCUGACACUGAGGCACGAAAGCUAGGGGAGCAAACAGG
rnacentral:rRNA from 1 species